CAGGUAGUUGGUGAGGUAAAGGCUCACCAAGCCUACGAUCCAUAGCUGGUCUGAGAGGAUGAUCAGCCACACUGGGACUGAGACACGGCCCAGACUCCUACGGGAGGCAGCAGUAGGGAAUCUUGCGCAAUGGGCGAAAGCCUGACGCAGCCAUGCCGCGUGAAUGAUGAAGGUCUUAGGAUUGUAAAAUUCUUUCACCGGGGAAGAUAAUGACGGUACCCGGAGAAGAAGCCCCGGCUAACUUCGUGCCAGCAGCCGCGGUAAUACGAAGGGGGCUAGCGUUGCUCGGAAUUACUGGGCGUAAAGGGCGCGUAGGCGGAUAUUUAAGUUAGAGGUGAAAGCCCAGGGCUCAUCCCUGGAAUAGCCUUUAAUACUGGAUAUC
rnacentral:rRNA from 1 species